GUAAUCAAGUAUGAACGUAGUCCAUGAUUCAGAUCAAUCCACGAUCAAUCCGAAUAUACUGAAAAAUGGGGUUUUUAACAACUGUGAACAGGCAAUCGGUGUUACCGAUUUUACUUGGCAUAUCUUUAACAACUUUUGGACUAUCAGUGGCAAUUUUGUUGUAUACUAUGGUUGAAAAGGAUGAUGAUGAUAAAAAGAAAUAUAAUCAGAUAGCAACAUCUAAACGCAAAGAAAUUUGUGUAGAAUUUAAAAUUCCUGAGAAAUAUGUAUCUGCUGUCAUUGGUAAAGGUGGAACUGUUAUAAGAAAUAUAGAAGAAUUAACUAAUACACAUAUUAAAAUGGAAAAGGCAAACUUAUCUUGUCUAGAUCGUGUCUGUUACCUUCGGUCUGAUAACACAGAAAACAUUUACUCAGCACAGAAUAUGAUACAAUCUAUAAUAAACAAUCUACCUGUCAUCGAAACCUUUGAAUUGUUUAUUCCUUACGAAGUUUCUAAAAGAAUUUUUAAAAGAAAUUGGAAUGAUAUUGGAUUUGCACAAAUGAUUCAAAAAACUCAUGGUACAAAACUUAUACUUGAGAGUGAACCUCAUAAAACUGAAACUGGAUUCAAGAGAAGGAUAAUACUAAAGGGAACUGUUGAUCAAAUAGCAGCAGCCAUUAAUCAAAUAGAAGACAAAGUUCAAGAUGAAAUUGUAGCUGAAGAUAAACUAGGAAUGCAAGUUGCGGCUGCAAUAAUAUCUACAUCCGAACAUGUUGAUACUGAUAUUAAAAAUACAACAGACAAUUCUGAUAUUGAAAUUUAUCAGUUAUUAGUGCCACAUGAAGCUUGUGGAACGAUCAUAGGAAGAAAUGGAUACACAGUGCAAGAAAUUGAAAAAAUCUCUGGCGCAAAAAUCAUGCUUGAAAAUGUUAAUGAAAGUGAUCAAAGAACUGUAACAAUAAUUGGGACUGGUAAACAAAUAGAACUAGCUACUAAUCAGAUAAAAAAUAAAAUUAAAGAGGAUACUGAAUUUCAUAACGAAGGGAAUUAUCAAUCUACAAAGACCAUAAAAAGAAUAUUUGAUUCUCCAUGUAACAAUGAUGGUGUAAUGGAAAUCUAUGUAUCUGCAAUGGAAACGCCAAGUUUGUUUUGGAUUCAAGUGGUUGGUACUGCAAAUACUGAUUUACAAGAUUUAGUGCACAAUAUGACAAAGUAUUAUGAUGACAAUGAAAAUCGUCAGCUUCAUACUUUAAAAAACAUAACAGUAGGCCAAAUGGUAGCAGCCAAAUUUAAAUAUGACAACAAGUGGUAUCGUGCAGAAGUUAUAUCCAUCAUAGAAUCUUUUGAAUACAAAGUCUUUUUUGUGGAUUAUGGAGAUUUGGAAAUUGUUUCUAUAGAUGAUAUAUUAGAACUUCGUACAGACAUGUUAAGCUUACGCCUACAGGCUGUAGAGUGUUCAUUGGCAAACGUAAAGCCACGAGAAAGUAAGUGGAGCUCCGAAGCUAAUGACAAGUUCGCCGAACUUACUCAUUUAGCGAGAUGGAAACCGCUCGUUGCUCAAGUUAAAGGCUACAAAGAACGUCCGGUUGGUUACGGAGGAUCACGCCGUGAAAAUUCACUGAUUCCUUGUAUUGAUCUGUGUGACAAAGAUAACGAUAAGGACAUUAAUAUUGGAGACAGUUUGAUACAAUUGGGAAUGGCUCAAAUUGGAAAGCUUGGAUCAUAAGAUUCAACGAUGGCGGUUUUAACGGUGGUUUUAAUGUGCUGCUGUCUUUCGAUCUGGGCAAUAGCAACUGGUCAUUAUGUCUAAAUUGAGAUAUUCGUUUGACAGCAAAUUCGGUGUUGUCUCGUGAUAAAUGUCAUCUUCCAUUUACACCAUCUUUACCUGAUUCUUUAUAUCUUGACUGAACGCGGU